AACGAACGCUGGCGGCAUGCCUAACACAUGCAAGUCGAACGAGACCUUCGGGUCUAGUGGCGCACGGGUGCGUAACGCGUGGGAACCUGCCCUUAGGUUCGGAAUAACUCCCCGAAAGGGGUGCUAAUACCGGAUAAUGUCUUCGGACCAAAGAUUUAUCGCCUUUGGAUGGGCCCGCGUUGGAUUAGCUAGUUGGUAGGGUAAAAGCCUACCAAGGCGACGAUCCAUAGCUGGUCUGAGAGGAUGAUCAGCCACACUGGGACUGAGACACGGUCCAGACUCCUACGGGAGGCAGCAGUGGGGAAUAUUGGACAAUGGGCGAAAGCCUGAUCCAGCAAUGCCGCGUGAGUGAUGAAGGCCUUAGGGUUGUAAAGCUCUUUUACCCGGGAUGAUAAUGACAGUACCGGGAGAAUAAGCUCCGGCCAACUCCGUG
rnacentral:rRNA from 1 species